rnacentral:lncRNA from 1 species
AUGUUUAGCCUAGCCCCCUUUCUUUUCAUCAGGCACCCCCUCCCCUUUUCUUUCAGGAAUAAAUGGAUGGUCCUUGAAGUACGUUCGAUCUCUAGUAAUCUUAGUUUUAGAUUUGCAUUUUCACGUUCAGCCAAUAAACUAGAAUCAUUUUAUUUUAUGUGUGAAAUAAGUAAAAUUUUGCUCAUCAAGAGUGCCUUGAAACUUUCACAUUCUGAGCCAAUAUUUAUUUAUUUGAUUUUAAGGAACUUUUUUUUUAUUAUUAUCAUUAGUAAGAAUUCUCGUUAUCCAAGAGUCUUAAAACUAUCGGCAAAAAUCCUAAAUCCUGUGGCCGGCUCCCCUCCUUCCAGUUACUUCUCUGCGCGUGAAGUUCGUAAAUAAAUGAGAAUGGAAGAGGCUAUCAGUCUCUGUAAUGUAAACAAAGUUGACUAACCCUCGAUUUGAAGGCACUUUAAGAUAUGACGUUGACGACAAUAUCCACUGAAUUCUUUCACUUUCAGUCUACUGUAAUAGGUGUAAUUCAAGUGUCCAAUUCAGAAAGGUCAUGAAUCCUGGAUCAAUUAAGAUAAAGAUAAUGUUUAUUUUUGCCUGGUUUUUUCAACACAUCUUGUGAUUUUUUUGUGUUAUUUUUGAGCUUAUUAAAGGCUCUAAUUAAGAAUGCGCUUAGCUUUGCACAAGUCUAGAGACAUGAAAACUUUUCACCCUCCGUUUCAGAGGGAGCUAGAAAAUGUGUAAAUCACGGAUUUACGGGAAGGAGAGAUAAAAGGAAUUAAGGAGGAGAAAAACGAGAACGAGGUGAACAGUGGCGUGGCGUGCUUUGCGAUGUAUCGAUUGUUAUGCCAUUUAAACCUAUAGAAAAGGAUCGAUAAACAGGGUGUCCGCAGCGAACACCUUAAUAAUCGAUUCUUUACCAUAUAUUUAAAUGGCAUAACAAUCGAUAUAUCGCAAUUCACGCCACGCCACUGGAGGUAAAGCGUAAAGUUUUCGUUUAUUUGAUGAAUGAAUAUUUGACAUAUCAUCACACUAAAUCAUAAAGAUAUUAUAUAUGUAAUACAGCCAAAUUCAAUACUGUUCUACUUGAUUCUUUACCAGUAAUUAAUUAUUACACUCGUAUGCCACAUUCUCCUUCUCACUGUAUCAUUACCUAGGUUUAUUUUUUUAUGAAUCUGCUGAUUGUGUUUUGUUUUGCCUUUUGCAAUUUUAAUUAAUUCAAUAACCCUCUCAAAGUAAUAAUUCGAUAGGAGCCAAAUUCAUAUAACUGGAACCUGCCAACGAUUUUAUUUUUUAAAACAAUGUUCAACUUGUGUUGUCGAUUUUUAAUAUACAAUUUCAGUAUUUUGUUGUUUUUUUAAAGGAAAUGGUGAUUAAAUAUUCCGCCCAUACACUCUGUUUUUAACGAAUUAUUAAUUUGAAUUUCCUGCCUACUUUAAUGAGAUUAAGUUAAGCAUUUAUGCAACUUUGCACUAUAUUUAUUUGUUCGAAUUGAUUUUCAUGUUAAGUAUUGAUUUUCCGUUUGUUUUUUGUUUAAACAAUUUUAGCAUGCCGUCCAACAAUUAACCAUUGCCUUGAUUUUGUACUUAUUUUACAGCAAUCUCAUUUGUUCAAUAAAAUUUGAAUUCAAUAAACCUUGGAUGUUGUUAUAUUUACCUAAUGCCUAGAACGCUAUACGGAAUCCACUUAGAAUCCAGGUGGAUGUCCAGUUUUGCUACGUGAAUGCUUCUACAGCCGAUCGAUACAUUGAUUAUUAAUUCCGAA